AGCGAACGCUGGCGGCAGGCUUAACACAUGCAAGUCGAACGGGCAUCUUCGGAUGUCAGUGGCAGACGGGUGAGUAACACGUGGGAACGUACCCUUCGGUUCGGAAUAACUCAGGGAAACUUGAGCUAAUACCGGAUACGCCCUUUUGGGGAAAGGUUUACUGCCGGAGGAUCGGCCCGCGUCUGAUUAGCUUGUUGGUGGGGUAGCGGCCUACCAAGGCGACGAUCAGUAGCUGGUCUGAGAGGAGGAUCAGCCACACUGGGACUGAGAUAGGGCCCAGACCCCGACGCGAGGGGGCAGUGGGGAAGGGGAAAAAAUGGGAGGGAGCCUGAUCCAGCACCGCCCCGUGCGGGAUGAGGGGCAUGGGGUUGGGGUUGGAAUUCUCUUUUGACGGGGCGGGAGUGACGGUAACGGGAAAAGAAGCCCCGGCUAACUUCGUG
rnacentral:rRNA from 1 species